rnacentral:rRNA from 1 species
UACGGGGGGGGCAAGCGUUGUUCGGAAUUACUGGGCGUAAAGGGCUCGUAGGCGGCCAACUAAGUCAGACGUGAAAUCCCUCGGCUUAACCUGGGAACUGCGUGUGAUACUGGAUGGCUUGAAUUCGGGAGAGGGAUGCAGAAUUCCAGGUGUAGCGGUGAAAUGCGUAGAUAUCUGGAGGAAUACCGGUGGCGAAGGCGGCAUCCUGGACCGACAUUGACGCUGAUGAGCGAAAGCUAGGGGAGCAAACGGG